rnacentral:rRNA from 1 species
UGCAGUCGAACGAUGAAGCCCAGCUUGCUGGGUGGAUUAGUGGCGAACGGGUGAGUAACACGUGAGUAACCUGCCCUUGACUCUGGGAUAAGCGUUGGAAACGACGUCUAAUACCGGAUACGAGCUUCCACCGCAUGGUGAGUUGCUGGAAAGAAUUUUGGUCAAGGAUGGACUCGCGGCCUAUCAGCUUGUUGGUGAGGUAACGGCUCACCAAGGCGACGACGGGUAGCCGGCCUGAGAGGGUGACCGGCCACACUGGGACUGAGACACGGCCCAGACUCCUACGGGAGGCAGCAGUGGGGAAUAUUGCACAAUGGGCGAAAGCCUGAUGCAGCAACGCCGCGUGAGGGACGACGGCCUUCGGGUUGUAAACCUCUUUUAGCAGGGAAGAAGCGAAAGUGACGGUACCUGCAGAAAAAGCACCGGCUAACUACGUGCCAGCAGCCGCGGUAAUACGUAGGGUGCAAGCGUUGUCCGGAAUUAUUGGGCGUAAAGAGCUCGUAGGCGGUUUGUCGCGUCUGCUGUGAAAUCCCGAGGCUCAACCUCGGGUCUGCAGUGGGUACGGGCAGACUAGAGUGCGGUAGGGGAGAUUGGAAUUCCUGGUGUAGCGGUGGAAUGCGCAGAUAUCAGGAGGAACACCGAUGGCGAAGGCAGAUCUCUGGGCCGCUACUGACGCUGAGGAGCGAAAGGGUGGGGAGCAAACAGGCUUAGAUACCCUGGUAGUCCACCCCGUAAACGUUGGGCGCUAGAUGUGGGGACCAUUCCACGGUUUCCGUGUCGUAGCUAACGCAUUAAGCGCCCCGCCUGGGGAGUACGGCCGCAAGGCUAAAACUCAAAGGAAUUGACGGGGGCCCGCACAAGCGGCGGAGCAUGCGGAUUAAUUCGAUGCAACGCGAAGAACCUUACCAAGGCUUGACAUAUACGAGAACGGGCCAGAAAUGGUCAACUCUUUGGACACUCGUAAACAGGUGGUGCAUGGUUGUCGUCAGCUCGUGUCGUGAGAUGUUGGGUUAAGUCCCGCAACGAGCGCAACCCUCGUUCUAUGUUGCCAGCACGUAAUGGUGGGAACUCAUGGGAUACUGCCGGGGUCAACUCGGAGGAAGGUGGGGACGACGUCAAAUCAUCAUGCCCCUUAUGUCUUGGGCUUCACGCAUGCUACAAUGGCCAGUACAAAGGGCUGCAAUACCGUAAGGUGGAGCGAAUCCCAAAAAGCUGGUCCCAGUUCGGAUUGAGGUCUGCAACUCGACCUCAUGAAGUCGGAGUCGCUAGUAAUCGCAGAUCAGCAACGCUGCGGUGAAUACGUUCCCGGGCCUUGUACACACCGCCCGUCAAGUCAUGAAAGUCGGUAACACCCGAAGCCAGUGGCCUAACCGCAAGGA